rnacentral:tRNA from 1 species
GUCUUCGUAGCUUAACAGUAAAGCAUGGCACUGAAGAUGCCAAGAUGACCCACCACAUGUCCGAUGACA